rnacentral:rRNA from 1 species
AGCAGCCGCGGUAAUUCCAGCUCCAAUAGCGUAUAUUAAAGUUGUUGCAGUUAAAAAGCUCGUAGUUGAAUUUCGAGAUCAAAUUGUUGGUCGUGCCUUGGUACGCACUGGCAUUAUUGGUUUCUCCCUUCUGACGAACCAUGAUGUCAUUAAUUUGGUGUCUUGGGGGAAUCAGGACUGUUACUUUGAAAAGAUUAGAGUGUUUAAAGCAGGCUCACGCUUGAAUACAUUAGCAUGGAAUAAUGAAAUAGGACGUUUGAUUCUAUUUUGUUGGUUUCUAGGAUCGACGUAAUGAUUAAUAGGGAUAGUUGGGGGCAUUAGUAUUCAAUUGUCAGAGGUGAAAUUCUUGGAUUUAUUGAAGACUAACUACUGCGAAAGCAUUUGCCAAGGAUGUUUUCAUUAAUCAAGAACGAAAGUUAGGGGAUCGAAGACGAUCAGAUACCGUCGUAGUCUUAACCAUAAACUAUGCCGACUAGGGAUCGGAUGAUGUUAAUUUUUUUCAAUGACUCAUUCGGCGCCU